GGAAUACAUAGAGGGUCACAGACACUGAUGCCCACAUACUAGGGGCAGAUGUCUGUACAGAUUUCCACGGAAUUUUUAGUCAGAGUUGGGAAUGUGAAACAAGGCCAGGGUUUGUAAAUGGCAACAAAGAGGGAGAGACAGCGAAGUAUGCUGUAAAACGAAACUUCCAAGUUCGAAGAGCCUCUCUUCUCCUUCUACAAAGUAAGAGACCAGGCAAGUUGCUACAUCAACUUCCCAGGUCAGGUGAGGGGUCCCCCUUCUCUGCCAGGAUGGCACAACCACAGGCUGGGGAGGAAGGGCAGGGCCUCGCGGGAGGGAUCACUCACCAAGCGGCAGGACGAAGAAGAAGGGGAACCAGCAGAGCACGAAGACGCCCACGCACGAUGGCCAGCGUCUUGGCAGCCUUCUUCUCGCGGGGAGAACUUGAGGAGGCGCACUGAGAGCGAGCUGCGGAAGGUGUGGCCCUUGGUGCUCCGAGUUCCGCUGUGCGCCCGUGCCGGCACCGGUGGCUGCCUCAAGCGACAGUGGAUGCGCAGCACCACCUCCGAGGCCUUGCCCGCUCGCGCUUGAUGCCGGCCUCCAGGCUGCGCGUGGUGCUGCGCGCUACUAUGUACACGCGGCAGUACAUGACCACGAUGACCGCCAUGGGAAGGUAGAAGGAGCACAGCGAAGAGAAGACAGCGUAGCCGGCCUCCUCCGUGAUGCCACAGAAACGCUCAUCCAGGGGCACGGGCUCCUUCCAGCCCAGCAGCGGCCCCACCGACACCACGAGGGCCACGGCCCAGAGCAGCGCCAGGAUGGCGGCCGCUUGCGCUCAGUCAUGAUGGCCGGGUACUUGAGCGAGUGGCGAACGCCACGUGCACGUCCACGGAGAUGGUGCACAGGCUGAGGAUGGAGGCGGUGCAGCACAGCACGUCCACGGCUGCCCACACGUCGCAGAAGGCCCGACCGAAGGCCCAGAAGCCCAGGACCUCCAUGGUGGCAGAGAACGCAGCACGGUGGUGCUCAACAGCAGGUCGGCCACGGCCAGGUUCACAAUGAAAUAGUUGGUGACCGUCUGCAGGUGGCGGUUGCAGGCCACCGAGAGGAUGACAAGCAGAUUGCCCGCCACGGCGGUGAGGAUGAAGGCUGCCAGAAACACGCCCACGCCCACGCCCUGCGCGCUCACCACCAGCCCCCCGACGGCCGCCGUGCCGCCCGCGCCGCUCCCGCCGCCGCCAGCCCCGGAGCCCCCGGCGCUGCCGUCCGGGCGGGGUCCCUCGAAAGUGACGCUGAGGAGGUCGCGGAAAGUCAUCUCAACGCGCAGCCGUCGGGGGCCGGGCCGGGGCGCAGGACGAGCGGCGGGCAGGGAGGGGGACAGUGGGCAUUGCUGCAGGGCUCUGGGUCCAGCCCCGCGCGCCAAUCCGUCGGGGUCUUUUCCAAGUUCUUGGGACGCGGAGCCGGCUGCCCGAGCACGGAGCUGCCAGGCCGGGCGGCCGGGGACCCUGGAGCCGGCUGAGCGCUGAACGGAAGAGCGGGGCCCCGGGCCGCGCGCCGCUCUGAGAGUUCCCGGGCGAGUGGGCAGAGCGGUGGCUCCGGGACCCGGCGGUGCCGGGUGCGGCCACUGCGGCGGCGCUCCUAACUCCGCGCGGGGGGCGGGACGGAGGAGGGGCGGCGCAGGGAGGGAGGAGGGGGCGGCCAGCGCCCAGGAAUGGGGCCGUGCUCCGCGGGAGAAGGGACUGCGUGGGCCAGCGGGGUGCCGGGGUCUGGAGGGGCUGCGGGGCUGGUGCGCGCUCGGCCCAGCGGAGGCCACUUACGCCUCGCUGCGGGCGCCUCAGACCGCCCUCUGCCCUCGCGGUGCCUUUCGCGCCCCCACCCGCUCCUCUCCUGGGCCCUCACCUCCUUUGCCCUCAGCUGCGUCCCUCUUCCGCCCGCCCUCUCCAGCCUCCGGGUCACUCGCCGGUUGCCCUUGGGCGCGCGGAGCUCAGAAGGCGCGAUUCCCAGGUCUCCCGGUUCCGGCCGCCAGAGAGCAGCAAGCGUCCGGGUUCUGCGGACUGCGGGCUGGACCGCGCAGUGCCGCGGCGGGUUGCCUCCUGAGAGUACCUGGAUGAACUAUGUACCUCCUUCCUUCUCCUAGUCCAUUGAUCGAGGCACGGUCUCAGGCACCACUGCCCAGCGCGGUGGCGAGGAGAGAGCCCCGGAAGCGGCCAGAGACCAUACCCUUGUGGGGAAAAAAUGAAAAUUGUCCACUCAUGUUCCCAGGAAGAGACCAAAGGCAAAAAAAUUAUUCUUGCUGUUGCAUGAACAUGAAUAUGGGACUUCUCUUUCAUUCUGUAUAUGUCCUCU
ensembl:lncRNA